AAUAAGUCAUGAGAAUGUGUAACGUUGAGAAUAUAAUCAAUAACAUUGUAUUAAUUUUGUAUGGUGACAGAUACUAGACUUUUUAUGGUGACCAUUUUGCAAUGCACACAAGUGUAGAAUCAGUAUGUUGUGCUCUUGAAACUAAUAUAGUAUUGUAUGUGAAUUAAAUCCCAAUAAAAACAAAAUUUUGAGAGAAGCCUAGAGGUUUACCUAAAUUAUUAACUAAUUUAAAUCUCUAUUUCUAUUUUGCUGCAGGAGGAAAUCCACUUGUAGUGUCUCAGCCCAUGGACCAAUGUCAUAUUGACUGAAUAAAACAAUUUGGCUUGGAGGGAGUUUGAUACAUGCUGGAUGAGAAAAAGUGUCUAAGCAGCGUUGAGGAACCAGGCAGAGUAGGAUCAACACUGUUUUCUUGUGGCACCUCUUGAGCCAUUCAGUGGUUCUCAAAUAUCCAACAAGGUGCUGGUGCUGGUUCCCAAAGAGCACAUCUUAGUCAUGUGAGGCAUCUGUCAACUAUCGGGGAUUCCAGGUGAGAGGUAAGUUGAAAACAAAAACCUUUUG
rnacentral:lncRNA from 1 species